rnacentral:rRNA from 1 species
CCUACGGGUGGCAGCAGUAGGGAAUUUUGCGCAAUGGGCGAAAGCCUGACGCAGCAACGCCGCGUGAUUGAUUAAGCCCUUCGGGGUGUAAAGAUCUGUCAGUGGGGACGAAACUUGACGGUACCCACAGAGGAAUCACCGGCUAACUCCGUGCCAGCACCCGCGGAAAUACGGAGGGUGCACGCGUUGUCCGGAAUCAUUCGGUGUAAAGAGUUCGUAGGUGGCAUAUUAAGUCUGGUGUUAAAUGCAGAAGCUCAACUGCUGUUCGGCACUGGACACUGGUAGGCUUGAGUGGGGAAAGGGUAAAGGGAAUUCCUGGUGUAGCGGUGAAAGGCGUAGAUAUCAGGAGGAACAUCGGGGGCGUAAGCGCUUGACUGGGCCGUAAUUGACACUGAGGAACGAAAGCCGGGGUAGCAAAUGGGAUUAGAUACCCGUGUAGUC